rnacentral:rRNA from 1 species
GGGUUGUGAGGUUAAGCGACUAAGCGUACACGGUGGAUGCCCUGGCAGUCAGAGGCGAUGAAGGACGUGCUAAUCUGCGAAAAGCGCCGGUAAGGUGAUAUGAACCGUUACAGCCGGCGAUGUCCGAAUGGGGAAACCCAGUGCAAUCCGUUGCACUAUCACAGCAUGAAUACAUAGUGCUGUGAGGCGAACCGGGGGAACUGAAACAUCUAAGUACCCCGAGGAAAAGAAAUCAACCGAGAUUCCCCCAGUAGCGGCGAGCGAACGGGGAACAGCCCAGAGCCUGAAUCAGCCUGAGUGUUAGUGGAAGCGUCUGGAAAGUCGCGCGAUACAGGGUGACAGCCCCGUACACAAAAGCACACAGGUUGUGAGCUCGAUGAGUAGGGCGGGACACGUGGUAUCCUGUCUGAAUAUGGGGGGACCAUCCUCCAAGGCUAAAUACUCCUGACUGACCGAUAGUGAACCAGUACCGUGAGGGAAAGGCGAAAAGAACCCCGGCGAGGGGAGUGAAACAGAACCUGAAACCGUGUACGUACAAGCAGUGGGAGCCUCUUUAUGGGGUGACUGCGUACCUUUUGUAUAAUGGGUCAGCGACUUAUAUUCUGUAGCAAGGUUAACCGUAUAGGGGAGCCGCAGGGAAACCGAGUCUUAACUGGGCGUUAAGUUGCAGGGUAUAGACCCGAAACCCGGUGAUCUAGCCAUGGGCAGGUUGAAGGUUGGGUAACACUAACUGGAGGACCGAACCGACUAAUGUUGAAAAAUUAGCGGAUGACCUGUGGCUGGGGGUGAAAGGCCAAUCAAACCGGGAGAUAGCUGGUUCUCCCCGAAAGCUAUUUAGGUAGCGCCUCGUGAAUUCAUCUCCGGGGGUAGAGCACUGUUUCGGCUAGGGGGCCAUCCCGGCUUACCAACCCGAUGCAAACUACGAUACGAGAUACACGGAGACAUGUUAUCACGGGAGACACACGGCGGGUGCUAACGUCCGUCGUGAAGAGGGAAACAACCCAGACCGCCAGCUAAGGUCCCAAAGUCAUGGUUAAGUGGGAAACGAUGUGGGAAGGCACAGACAGCCAGGAUGUUGGCUUAGAAGCAGCCAUCAUUUAAAGAAAGCGUAAUAGCUCACUGGUCGAGUCGGCCUGCGCGGAAGAUGUAACGGGGCUAAACCAUGCACCGAAGCUGCGGCAGCGACACUAUGUGUUGUUGGGUAGGGGAGCGUUCUGUAAGCCGUCGAAGGUGGCCUGUGAGGGCUGCUGGAGGUAUCAGAAGUGCGAAUGCUGACAUAAGUAACGAUAAAGCGGGUGAAAAGCCCGCUCGCCGGAAGACCAAGGGUUCCUGUCCAACGUUAAUCGGGGCAGGGUGAGUCGACCCCUAAGGCGAGGCCGAAAGGCGUAGUCGAUGGGAAACAGGUUAAUAUUCCUGUACUUGGUGUUACUGCGAAGGGGGGACGGAGAAGGCUAUGUCGGCCGGGCGACGGUUGUCCCGGUUUAAGCGUGUAGGUGUGUGUUCCAGGUAAAUCCGGUUCACUUUAACACUGAGGCGUGAUGACGAGGCACUACGGUGCUGAAGUGACAAAUGCCCUGCUUCCAGGAAAAGCCUCUAAGCAUCAGGUAACACGAAAUCGUACCCCAAACCGACACAGGUGGUCAGGUAGAGAAUACCAAGGCGCUUGAGAGAACUCGGGUGAAGGAACUAGGCAAAAUGGUGCCGUAACUUCGGGAGAAGGCACGCUGGUGUGUAGGUGAAGCGACUUGCUCGCGGAGCUGAAACCAGUCGAAGAUACCAGCUGGCUGCAACUGUUUAUUAAAAACACAGCACUGUGCAAACACGAAAGUGGACGUAUACGGUGUGACGCCUGCCCGGUGCCGGAAGGUUAAUUGAUGGGGUCAACCGCAAGGUGAAGCUCUUGAUCGAAGCCCCGGUAAACGGCGGCCGUAACUAUAACGGUCCUAAGGUAGCGAAAUUCCUUGUCGGGUAAGUUCCGACCUGCACGAAUGGCGUAAUGAUGGCCAGGCUGUCUCCACCCGAGACUCAGUGAAAUUGAACUCGCUGUGAAGAUGCAGUGUACCCGCGGCAAGACGGAAAGACCCCGUGAACCUUUACUAUAGCUUGACACUGAACAUUGAGCCUUGAUGUGUAGGAUAGGUGGGAGGCUUUGAAGCGUGGACGCCAGUCUGCGUGGAGCCAACCUUGAAAUACCACCCUUUAAUGUUUGAUGUUCUAACGUGGACCCGUAAUCCGGGUUGCGGACAGUGUCUGGUGGGUAGUUUGACUGGGGCGGUCUCCUCCUAAAGCGUAACGGAGGAGCACGAAGGUCAGCUAAUCCUGGUCGGACAUCAGGAGGUUAGUGCAAUGGCAUAAGCUGGCUUGACUGCGAGCGUGACGGCGCGAGCAGGUGCGAAAGCAGGUCAUAGUGAUCCGGUGGUUCUGAAUGGAAGGGCCAUCGCUCAACGGAUAAAAGGUACUCCGGGGAUAACAGGCUGAUACCGCCCAAGAGUUCAUAUCGACGGCGGUGUUUGGCACCUCGAUGUCGGCUCAUCACAUCCUGGGGCUGAAGUAGGUCCCAAGGGUAUGGCUGUUCGCCAUUUAAAGUGGUACGCGAGCUGGGUUUAGAACGUCGUGAGACAGUUCGGUCCCUAUCUGCCGUGGGCGCUGGAGAAUUGAGGGGGGCUGCUCCUAGUACGAGAGGACCGGAGUGGACGCAUCACUGGUGUUCGGGUUGUCAUGCCAAUGGCACUGCCCGGUAGCUAAAUGCGGAAGAGAUAAGUGCUGAAAGCAUCUAAGCACGAAACUUGCCCCGAGAUGAGUUCUCCCUGAGACUAUAAGUCUCCUGAAGGAACGUUGAAGACGACGACGUUGAUAGGCCGGGUGUGUAAGCGCAGCGAUGCGUUGAGCUAACCGGUACUAAUGAACCGUGAGGCUUAACCUUACAACGCCGAAG